CCUGGGUUCCGGAAAGAGGAUGAGGUGGGGGCGGAGAGGCCAGAGCACGCGAGCCGAGGAGCCAAAAGCUGGGUCCCCGAGAGCAAAACCUCGAGACCACUUGGCUUUCCCACCUCACUCCAGCCUCUAGGGCCUGCGACAUGUACAGAAGCUCUUGAUCUGAAACAGAGGCGGGUACCGGAGCCCAUCAGCCUUGGUUCUCAGGGAAAGCACCUCUGUCCCAUAGGGACCCCGCAGUCGACUGGGAGAAGAAAGUGAAAGGAAAACCUCUCACCUGAAAGACUUGAGAAGUCCGCCUGGUUAGGCCUAAACAUAUCCGUCAUUCCCAAGUUCUCCAGGGGCCUCCUGAGGUCAACUUCACUCUCCAGGGAGAACCUGCAGACGUGGAGCAGGAAACAGCUCAAGCUCAGGCCACCUCUAGCCUCUGUGCCCAUCAGAUCCCCAUUGCCGCCUCCUCCUGACCUCUGAGAGUCCCGCCUGAUUAGGAAAAGCACCCAAGGAGACCCACCACCACCAGAGGGGUCCCCUUGCCUUUUUUGCUAAGUACAGCCAAGCCUCUGGAUUCGCAUCCACGAUUCGAUCAACCAGUCAUAUCUGCAGUUGGUUGAAUCCCCUUAGGCAGAGUCCGCAGUGCUUCAGUCUCCCUAGAGAGACGCUGUGAGUCUGAAUAAGAUGCUUCUGCUGAAAAAGGCAGAUGUGGCCUGGGGACCAGCGGGAGACUCUAGCAACUUCUUUUGAGACAAGCUGAGACCUAAACCUGGGACUCUUUGCACCUGACAAAAGUCUCCUAGAGCAGCAAAAUACAAAGAAACUCUAAGGGACUAAAAAUAACUGUGUGCAUGCACAGUUGGGGCAAAUUAUGGACAAUAAAAUACAAAGAGACCAAAAA